rnacentral:rRNA from 1 species
UGGGGAAUAUUGCACAAUGGGCGCAAGCCUGAUGCAGCAACGCCGCGUGAGAGACGACGGCCUUCGGGUUGUAAACCUCUUUUGGCAGGGAAGAAGCGAAAGUGACGGUACCUGCAGAAAAAGCACCGGCUAACUACGUGCCAGCAGCCGCGGUGAUACGUAGGGUGCAAGCGUUGUCCGGAAUUAUUGGGCGUAAAGAGCUCGUAGGCGGUUUGUCGCGUCUGCUGUGAAAACCCGAGGCUCAACCUCGGCCCUGCAGUGGGUACGGGCAAACUAGAGUGCGGUAGGGGAGAUUGGAAUUCCUGGUGUAGCGGUGGAAUGCGCAGAUAUCAGGAGGAACACCGAUGGCGAAGGCAGCCCCCUGGGAUGAUACUGACGCUCAUGCACGAAAGCGUGGGGAGCAAACA